rnacentral:rRNA from 1 species
AACGAACGCUGGCGGCGGGCCUAAUACAUGCAAGUCGAACGAGAAAAUCCGGCUUCGGCUGGAUGAGUAAAGUGGCGAACGGGUGAGUAACACGUGGGCAAUCUGCCCUUAAGUUUGGGAUAAGCCCUCGAAAGGGGGUCUAAUACCGGAUAAAAUCCGGAGAUGGCAUCUUUUCCGGAUCAAAGGCGGAGCAAUCUGCCGCUUAAGGAUGAGCCCGCGUCCCAUUAGCUUGUUGGUGAGGUAACGGCUCACCAAGGCUGUGAUGGGUAGCCGGCCUGAGAGGGUGAUCGGCCACACUGGGACUGAGAUACGGCCCAGACUCCUACGGGAGGCAG